rnacentral:rRNA from 1 species
UGGCGGACGGGGGAGUAAUGUCUGGGAAACUGCCCGAUGGAGGGGGGUAACUACUGGAAACGGUAGCUAAUACCGCAUAACGUCGCAAGACCAAAGAGGGGGACCUUCGGGCCUCUUGCCAUCGGAUGUGCCCAGAUAGGAUUAGCUAGUAGGUGGGGUAAAGGCUCACCUAGGCGACGAUCCCUAGCUGGUCUGAGAGGAUGACCAGCCACACUGGAACUGAGACACGGUCCAG